GAGUUUGAUCCUGGCUCAGGAUGAACGCUGGCGGCGUGCUUAACACAUGCAAGUCGAACGAAGCACGGGGACGGAAGCCCUCCGGGGUGGAAGGCCGCGUGACUGAGUGGCGGACGGGUGAGUAACGCGUGGGUAACCUGCCCCAUACAGGGGGAUAACAGCCGGAAACGGCUGCUAAUACCGCAUGCACAUGCGGGGGCGCAUGCCCCUGGAUGGAAAGCUUUCGCGGUAUGGGAUGGGCCCGCGUCUGAUUAGGCAGUUGGCGGGGUAACGGCCCACCAAACCGACGAUCAGUAGCCGGCCUGAGAGGGCAACCGGCCACAUUGGGACUGAGACACGGCCCAAACUCCUACGGGAGGCAGCAGUGGGGAAUAUUGCACAAUGGGGGGGACCCUGAUGCAGCGACGCCGCGUGGGUGAAGGAGUAUUUCGGUAUGUAAAGCCCUAUCAGCAGGGAAGAACAAUGACGGUACCUGACUAAGAAGCACCGGCUAAAUACGUGCCAGCAGCCGCGGUAAUACGUAUGGUGCAAGCGUUAUCCGGAUUUACUGGGUGUAAAGGGAGCGCAGGCGGCGCGUUAAGCCUGGUGUGAAAGCCCGCGGCCCAACCGCGGGACUGCAUUGGGAACUGGCGCGCUGGAGUGCCGGAGGGGUAGGCGGAAUUCCUAGUGUAGCGGUGAAAUGCGUAGAUAUUAGGAGGAACACCAGUGGCGAAGGCGGCCUACUGGACGGUGACUGACGCUGAGGCUCGAAAGCGUGGGGAGCAAACAGGAUUAGAUACCCUGGUAGUCCACGCCGUAAACGGUGAAUACUAGGUGUCGGGCCCCAUUGGGGGCCGGUGCCGCAGCAAACGCAGUAAGUAUUCCACCUGGGGAGUACGUUCGCAAGAAUGAAACUCAAAGGAAUUGACGG
rnacentral:rRNA from 1 species